CUGACUCUUAACAUCCACGCUGGCCUUCAGUUCCUGGUCUACAAAAUCUUCCUGAGCUUCGCUGGCCCUUCAGACUUAUGGUGUCCUUCCGUAGACCUGCCAGAAGGAUCAACUUGAGAACUGACAAAUCUUCAUUCUGGGACUUUCUACAACCCUUACAACAAGAUAAGAACUGUCUGUGGAAGUGUUUCUCCUAAUUUGCAACAUUUUUCAAAUUUAUGAAAUUUUCUCAUUUCAUUAUACCAAGAAGAGGCCAAGGGAGGACGUGAUCGCCACGAUUCCCAGUUCUCAGGGCCUUUCCUGAGGACAGCUUUGUCGGCAUCAUUCUGUCCUUGGGCCUGGACUGGAGAAGGGAAACGCCUACCCCGUCCAGGGGUGAUGUGCAUGAGGAACUAUUACAGUGGCAAUCACAGCCUCUCCAGAUUUCCAGAGUGCAAAUGUAACUUUUCAAAAAUGUAAAAGUAAAUACCAAUAUUGUCAAUGUCAGUAUUUAUUAUCUUUCUAAUAGGGAGAUGUGUGAAGCAGUUAGUUGUGUCUAUUAAAAAAUUAAAUUAAACAAACUCAUCUUAAUCAAUGAAUGCAAAUUGACUACUUAUUUAAAAUUGAUUUAAUAUUAACAAAUUACAAAUUGUUAUUUUUGAAAAAUUAGGAUAAUUUACAGAAAUAACUCUCUGCUUUGUAAAUAUGACUAGUAAUUUGCUUCAGAUAUUUUAACUUCUUUUUCUAUGUAGCAUCUAUGGUUUCUGAAGCAUGAAAGGAAUGAAUUAAAAAAUAUAAACCCAGGGCCUAAAGAUUAGUUUGAAGGAUGCAUUUUGAAGGUAAAGGACACAGAAUUUUAAUCCUAGCUCUGUUAUUAUCUAGAAGUGUGGUAUUUGGCCUAAGUCUCCCUCCUUAUCUUUAAAUGGGCUUAAUGACAUCUACUUUGUCAUAAUUAAGUAGAAUUGUGCAUUUUUAAAAAGUCUAAAAUAAUGUUGGUCACAUUGAAGCACCUCAUAAAUGAUCUUUAGCAUUAGUAUAAUACAAUCUUAAAAUAAAUUUACAUAAAUAUUGUAGUGGGUGUAAAAAAAGC
ensembl:lncRNA